UUCUACUAAUUUUGAUUUUCAUGUAGCUUUGAAUGGUGGUCCUUUGAGAUUCUUACAUUACUUGCUGGACUUUUACCUAAUCCUCAACUUGAAACCUCAGUUCUUUCUGUCUGCCUGAACACGACGACAUUGCAUUACUUCAUUCCAUACGCCGUUGGAGCUUCUGCAAGUACUCGUGUUUCGAACGAAUUAGGAGCAGGGAAUCCAAAGACAGCUAAGGGAGCUGUUCGAGUUGUUGUUAUUAUUGGAAUUGCAGAAGCAAUUAUUGUCAGCACCUUCUUCCUAUGUUUUCGAAAUAUUUUAGGAUAUGCUUAUAGCAAUGAUGAACAAGUUGUGAAUUAUAUAGCGAAAAU